rnacentral:rRNA from 1 species
UACGUAGGGUGCAAGCGUUAAUCGGAAUUACUGGGCGUAAAGCGUGCGCAGGCGGUUUUGUAAGUCUGACGUGAAAUCCCCAGGCUCAACCUGGGAACUGCGUCUGAUACUGGAUGGCUUGAAUCCGGGAGAGGGAUGCAGAAUUCCAGGUGUAGCGGUGAAAUGCGUAGAUAUCUGGAGGAAUACCGGUGGCGAAGGCGGCAUCCUGGACCGGUAUUGACGCUGAUGCGCGAAAGCCAGGGGAGCAAACGGG